GCUGGGAAUCCCAGAGCUGCAGGCAGUGAGCGACUCUGGACCUGCUGUGGCUCCAGGAGGUCUGGGUGCAUCUGAGAACAUGUGUGGGUGCCUGGGGGCGCCGAGGGCAAUACUGAUGGCCAGCACCCUGGGAGAGGAGGCUCUGGAAUGUGGGGCCAUGUGAACGUGAAGGAAUUAACUCUGUGCCCCUGGGUCUCAGCCCAGACGGUCAUGUGACCACCUCCCACAAUCUCCCCCCUCCCUGGUGUCUGCCUGGAUCUGGAGGUUCACAAUGCCCUGUUGGGCUUGGACUGGAGCUGGUGGCAACUGAUCCCUGACCUGGGGAGUUGCCAACAUGCCCACUCUUCUGGGGCCUCUGGAAAUAGGAUAGUUUCAGGGGUGGAGAGAGGGGUGCCUGGGAGCUUCCCAAGGUAGAACAGAAAAGGGGAGAGCUGGAGAGUUCGAAGAAGGAGUUGCUGCGGAGCCCACCACCUCACCUGGGGCUAAACCGACCGGCCAGGUCACUUGCAAAAAAGUGGCUUCGGUCCCCAAGUCAGUCCUGCCCCAGAAGGGCCUCCAGCUUACCUUGGUCUCCCCAGAAGCCUGGGUCUACUCCUUGUUUGCUGGCUGCAGGUGGAGGAAGAAAACAGAGAAGCGUGCCCUUGGCUGAGGACAAGAAUCUGCAUGACGUUUUCUUUGACCUUGAGAAUGGCUUUUGCCUACCCCACAGAGCAGGAGAGGAGUUGGAACUUUCCCCUUUGGCUCUGUCAGCCAAAUGUGGCUUUCAGUUCUCUAGGGACUGCUGUAUUUUCUCACGAAUUUCAAAUGCUACAACUCCCCGUGUGACAGCUGGAGAGUUACUAUACCUUUCUGGGCCCCAUUGAGUGACAGAAGAUCAGAAUGGAUAGUCACACGCCUGCCCCAGCAUGGAAGAGCCUUCACUUCCAUCCAUGCUGGCCUCUUCCAAGUUCCCUUCAUUUUUCUCUCUAAGAUCAAAUAAACAGGCAUGUUGUUAUUAUUUUUAUACA
rnacentral:lncRNA from 13 species